GAAUUUUUACUUAUUGUAUAUCUCAAAAUGAUAAAAAUAAAGAAUUCGAUGCUAUAAUAAAUACAAGGAUAUAAACAUGGUUAUAAUUAUAAAGCAAUGAAACCAGUUUUUGAUAAAAUACUGAAAUCUAGCAAUGAACAAAGACAUACAGCAACAAACAACGUGCUGGAAUUCUCAAUACAAUAUAAUAAAUUAUGACCAGGCCACAAACAAUUUAAUGAAAUGCAUAACUAAAGCGCACCAACAAAAAAUCAUUUAUAGGAGAAAUCCAACUAAUUUUCUGCACUACGGAAUGACAAGGAUUCAAUUAAAGAAAUGCAAAAAUCAGGUAUUUACAAAAACAUCCAUCCAAAGCACAAACUCCC
rnacentral:lncRNA from 1 species